rnacentral:rRNA from 1 species
GUAAUAGCUUACUCAUCGAGUGAUCCUGCGCCGAAAAUGAUUGGCGAUCAAGCGUUAUACCGAAGCUCUGGACUUUACCUUACGGUAGAGUGGUAGAAGAGCGUUGCAUGCGCGUUGAAGGGUGAUGGCGACUGACCCUGGAGCACAUGCAAGUGAGUAUGCAGACAUGAGUAACGUAAAGCCGGGUGAAAUCCCCGGCCGCCGUAAACCCGAGGUUUCCAGGGCAACGUGUUUCGUCCCUGGGUUAGCCGGGACCUAAGCCGAGGCCGAGAGGCGUAGGCGAUGGAUAUCAGGUUAAUAAUCCUGAGCUCGCGACCCUUAAACUGGGGGGACGCAUGAGAAAAGAUGACUAGGUUAUUGAAUUCCGAGUUGAGUCCACGGACUCAGCGCAUCAUUGGAUCGAGUGCCAAGAAAAGCCCCAGCGUAUGCUAAGCGACCCGUACCGCAAACCGACACAGGUGGGUGGGUAGAAUAUACCAAGGCGUAAGAGUGAAACCUGGUUAAGGAACUCGGCAAAUUAGCCCCGUAACUUCGGAAGAAGGGGUGCCUGCAGCGAUGCAGGCCGCAGAGAAAUGGCCCAACCGACUGUUUAUCAAAAACACAGCACUCUGCAAAGACGCAAGUCGAAGUAUAGGGUGUGACACGUGACCAAUGCCGAAAGAUUAAGGCAAGGGGUUAGCCGCAAGGCGAAGCUCUGAACCCAAGUCCCGGUGAAUGUCGGCCGUAACUAUAACGGUCCUAAGGUAGCGAAAUUCCUUGUCGGGUAAGUUCCGACCUGCACGAAUCGUGAAACGAGUUGGGCACUGUCUCAACCAGGCGCUCAGUGAAAUUGUAGUGGCGGUGAAGAUGCCGCCUACCCGCAGAAGGACGGAAAGACCCUAUAGACCUUAACUGUAAGCUGUCAUUGUUUCUUCGGUUUUAAUGCUCAGAGUAAGUGGGAGACGCUGAAGACGCCCUUUAGGGGGCGUCGGAGUCAUCAAUGAGACACCACCCUUUGAAACUGGAGGAUCUAACCCUGAGCCGUGAAUCCGGCCAGAGGACCGUGUCAGCCGGUCAGUUUUACUGGGGCGGUAUCCUCCCAAAGAGUAACGGAGGAGCGCGAAGGUGGGCUCAGCCCGGUUGGCAACCGGGUGUCGAGUGCAUGGGCAUAAGCCCGCCUAACUGUGAGACCAACAAGUCGAGCAGAUGCGAAAGCAGGCCCAAGUGAUCCGGCGGUAGAAAGUGGAAUUGCCGUCGCUCAACGGAUAAAAGGUACCUUAGGGAUAACAGGCUGAUCACGCCCAAGAGUUCAUAUCGACGGCGUGGUUUGGCACCUCGAUGUCGGCUCGUCGCAUCCUGGGGCUGGAGAAGGUCCCAAGGGUCCGGCUGUUCGCCGGUUAAAGCGGCACGCGAGCUGGGUUCAGAACGUCGCGAGACAGUUCGGUCCUCUAUCCUCUGUGGGCGUUGGAAAAUUGAGGGGUUCAGACCUUAGUACGAGAGGACCGGGUCUGACGCACCACUGGUGCAUCGGUUGUACUGUCAAGUGCAUGGCCGAGUAGCUAAGUGCGGACGGGAUAAGCGCUGAAAGCAUCUAAGCGCCAAGCCCAUCCCAAGAUGAGUUUUCCCUAUAGGUUCGUGGAAGACCACCACGUUGAUAGGUCGCAGGUGUAAGUGCAGCAAUGUAUUGAGCCAAGCGAUACUAAUCACCAAUAGACUUCAUCAU